GGUCCCGUAGUGGAGCGGUUUAACACGCCUGCCUGUCACGCAGGAGAUCGCGGGUUCGAGUCCCGUCGGGACCGC
rnacentral:tRNA from 1 species